UACGGAGGGGGCUAGCGUUGUUCGGGAUUACUGGGCGUAAAGCGCACGUAGGCGGCUUUGUAAGUUAGAGGUGAAAGCCCGGGGCUCAACUCCGGAAUUGCCUUUAAGACUGCAUCGCUAGAAUUGUGGAGAGGUAAGUGGAAUUCCGGGUGUAGAGGUGAAAUUCGUAGAUAUUCGGAAGAACACCAGUGGCGAAGGCGACUUACUGGACACAUAUUGACGCUGAGGUGCGAAAGCGUGGGGAGCAAACAGG
rnacentral:rRNA from 1 species